GAUGAACGCUGGCGGCGUGCCUAAUACAUGCAAGUCGAGCGAACGGACGAGGAGCUUGCUUCUCUGAUGUUAGCGGCGGACGGGUGAGUAACACGUGGAUAACCUACCUAUAAGACUGGGAUAACUUCGGGAAACCGGAGCUAAUACCGGAUAAUAUUUUGAACCGCAUGGUUCAAAAGUGAAAGACGGUCUUGCUGUCACUUAUAGAUGGAUCCGCGCUGCAUUAGCUAGUUGGUAAGGUAACGGCUUACCAAGGCAACGAUGCAUAGCCGACCUGAGAGGGUGAUCGGCCACACUGGAACUGAGACACGGUCCAGACUCCUACGGGAGGCAGCAGUAGGGAAUCUUCCGCAAUGGGCGAAAGCCUGACGGAGCAACGCCGCGUGAGUGAUGAAGGUCUUCGGAUCGUAAAACUCUGUUAUUAGGGAAGAACAUAUGUGUAAGUAACUAUGCACAUCUUGACGGUACCUAAUCAGAAAGCCACGGCUAACUACGUG
rnacentral:rRNA from 1 species